AGGGUGCAGGGCGGAUGCCUUGGCACUAGGAGCCGAUGAAGGACGUGAUAAGCUGCGAUAAGCUUCGGGGAGUUGCACGUAAACUUUGAUCCGAAGAUUUCCGAAUGAGGAAACUCACUUAGAGUAAUGUCUAAGUAUCAUUAAGUGAAUACAUAGCUUAAUGAGGGGAACUCAGGGAACUGAAACAUCUAAGUACCUGAAGGAAGAGAAAGAAAUUCGAUUCCGUAAGUAGCGGCGAGCGAACGCGGAUUAGCCCAAACCAAUAAAGUUUUCUUUAUUGGGGUUGCGGACAUAUCAUAACGAAGAGGUAUCGUAAUUGAAGAGGUUUGGAAAGACCCACCACAGAAGGUAAUAGUCCUGUAUGUUAAACGAGAAGACUUCAGAUAUGAUCCAGAGUACCACGGGACACGUGAAACCCUGUGGGAAGCAGGAGGGACCACCCUCCAAGGCUAAAUACUACCUAGUGACCGAUAGCGUAUAGUACCGUGAGGGAAAGGUGAAAAGAACCCCGGGAGGGGAGUGAAAUAGAACCUGAAACCCUGCACUUACAAGCUGUGGAAGCACAUUUCUUGUGUGACCGCGUACUUUUUGUAGAACGGGCCAACGAGUUACGUUAAGUAGCAAGGUUAAGCACUUAAGGUGCGGAGCCGUAGCGAAAGCGAGUUUUAACUGAGCGUUCAGUUACUUGACGUAGACCCGAAACCGGGCGACCUACCCAUGAGCAGGAUGAAGCGAAAGUAAAAUUUCGUGGAGGUCCGAACCCACGAGCGUUGAAAAGCUCGGGGAUGACUUGUGGGUAGCGGUGAAAUUCCAAUCGAGCCCGGAGAUAGCUGGUUCUCCCCGAAAUAGCUUUAGGGCUAGCCUCAAGGUGAGAGAUACGGAGGUAGAGCACUGAAUGUCCUAGGGGGUAUUGCACCUACCGAAGACUAUCAAACUCCGAAUGCCGUCAUCUUAUACUUGGGAGUCAGACUGUGGGUGAUAAGAUUCAUAGUCGAAAGGGCAACAGCCCAGAUCGUCAGCUAAGGUCCCUAAAUGUAAGUUAAGUGGUAAAGGAUGUGGGAUUGCACAGACAACCAGGAUGUUGGCUUAGAAGCAGCCACUCAUUCAAAGAGUGCGUAAUAGCUCACUGGUCGAGUGAUCCUGCGCCGAAGAUUUCCGGGGCUAAAACUUACUACCGAAGCUACGGCAUCAGUAAUGAUGGGUAGGGGAGCUUCCCAUACGGGUUGAAGCAUGACCGUAAGGACAUGUGGACAGUAUGGGAGUGAGAAUGUUGGCAUGAGUAGCGAGAUGUGGGUGAGAAUCCCACAGGCCGUAAACCCAAGGUUUCCAGGGGAAGGUUCGUCCGCCCUGGGUUAGUCGGGACCUAAGCUGAGGCCGAAAGGCGUAGGUGAUGGACAACAGGUUGAUAUUCCUGUACUACCGAUAACCGUUUGAGAGAAGGGAUGACACAGUAGGAUAAGCUAAGCACACUGUUGGUUAUGUGUGCCCAAGCAUUGAGGCAGUCAAAGUAGGCAAAUCCGCUUUGAUAAUGCUGGGAUGUGAUGGGGAGCGAAAUUUAGUAGCGAAGUAGCUGAUUUCACACUGUCAAGAAAAGUCUCUAUCGAGGUUAAAGGUACCCGUACCGCAAACCGACACAGGUGGGUGAGGAGAGUAUCCUAAGGCCAGCGAGAGAACUGUUGUUAAGGAACUCGGCAAAAUGACCCCGUAACUUAGGGAUAAGGGGUGCCACCAUCAGGUGGCCGCAGAGAAUAGGCCCAAGCGACUGUUUACCAAAAACAUAGGUUUCUGCUAAGUCGCAAGACGAUGUAUAGGAGCUGACGCCUGCCCGGUGCUGGAAGGUUAAGGGGAUCUGUUAGAGCAAUCGAAGCAGUGAACUUAAGCCCCAGUAAACGGCGGCCGUAACUAUAACGGUCCUAAGGUAGCGAAAUUCCUUGUCGGGUAAGUUCCGACCCGCACGAAAGGCGUAACGAUUUGGGCACUGUCUCAACAACAGACUCGGUGAAAUUGUAAUUCCGGUGAAGAUGCCGGAUACCUGCGACAGGACGGAAAGACCCCAUGGAGCUUUACUGUAGCUUGACAUUGGGUCUUGGUACUACAUGUACAGGAUAGGUGGGAGGCUUUGAAACCAGGACGCCAGUUUUGGCGGAGCCAUCCUUGGGAUACCACCCUUGUAGUACUGGGACUCUAACCAUAGGCCAUGAAUCUGGUCUUGGGACACUGUCAGGUGGGCAGUUUGACUGGGGCGGUCGCCUCCCAAAAGGUAACGGAGGCGCUCAAAGGUUCUCUCAGUACGGUCGGAAAUCGUACGUAGAGUGUAAAGGCAAAAGAGAGCUUGAUUGCAAGACAUACAGGUCGAGCAAGGAUGAAAAUCGGACUUAGUGAUCCGGUGGUUCUGCGUGGAAGGGCCAUCGCUCAACGGAUAAAAGCUACCCUGGGGAUAACAGGCUUAUCUCCCCCAAGAGUCCACAUCGACGGGGAGGUUUGGCACCUCGAUGUCG
rnacentral:rRNA from 1 species